GACGAACGCUGGCGGCAUGCCUAACACAUGCAAGUCGAACGGAGAUUAUUUCGGUAAUCUUAGUGGCGAACGGGUGAGUAACGCGUGGGCAACCUGCCCUCUAGAUGGGGACAACAUCCCGAAAGGGGUGCUAAUACCGAAUGUGACAGCAAUCUCGCAUGAGGAUGCUGUGAAAGAUGGCCUCUAUUUAUAAGCUAUCGCUAGAGGAUGGGCCUGCGUCUGAUUAGCUAGUUGGUGGGUAACGGCCUACCAAGGCGAUGAUCAGUAGCCGGUCUGAGAGGAUGAACGGCCACAUUGGGACUGAGACACGGCCCAGACUCCUACGGGAGGCAGCAGUGGGGAAUCUUCCGCAAUGGGCGAAAGCCUGACGGAGCAAUGCCGCGUGAGUGAUGAAGGAAUUCGUUCCGUAAAGCUCUUUUGUUUAUGACGAAUGUGCAGAUUGUGAACAAGGAUCUGUAAUGACGGUAGUAAACGAAUAAGCCACGGCUAACUACGUG
rnacentral:rRNA from 1 species